rnacentral:lncRNA from 1 species
GUAGUUGACAACUUUUUAUUUAAAUCAUCUCAGCUCUCAAAAAUGGCAUCCAAGUUUGUUAAAUUCAAACUGAAAAUUUUGCAAACAACUUUGGAUAGAAAAAGUAUCAAAAUAAAAGUUGAAGAACAUCAAAAGUUAUUCAACUUUUUAAUUGACAACAUUUUUGCUUGAGUAAAUUUACGGUCUCAAAUAGUCAAUUUACACUUAGUUAGUUAUAAUAUGUCGGCAACAAAACUGUGGUUUAAGCACAAGGCACGUCAUAGGCGGAGUGGUAGAGAUGGCUUCGGGCGAGGCUAAGGUACAUGUUCGAUUCCCAGCCGUCACGUCCUUGCGCGAAAAAUACCGCAACUUGCGACUUUGACGGAGUCGGACGGGCGCUAGUGGAAAUCGAUUUCCACUGGCGGUUCUCAAUUAACAGCCUGUAAAAAAGAUUGUUUAUAUUGGCAUCUAGCACUAGCGGUUCUAAAAACGCUACUAUAAAUAGGUUGAGAACUGCUACUAUAGAGCUUCUAUGUACUAGUGACCACCUCCUGCAGCAUUGGGUCGUCGCGGAUUGGCUAGAAGUCAUGGCUGGGCAACACCUCGUCGGUGCCAUUGCUGAUGUCAUUUGUGUUGUCGUGGAGGGAGCGAUGGUGCCCAGGGCGGUGGCGGAUUGCCUCCUCCAGCGGGUCCAAGGCGCAUCAAAUAGAAUAGCUCGUCGGCCCUGCAUGUCAGUGGCGAUAGAGACGACAAGGCCCUAGAUCUGCUUGCUUCUCCCACAGCUGCCUCCCACCAUCAACUACGACACGUUCAUCGUGGCGAUUCCGAGCUUGCUUCUUCCGACACUGCCUCCCGUCGUGGCUCACAAGGACGAAAAGAAGCGUGGCAAACAGGUCGGAUGUGCACGCUCUAGAUAAUUGGGGGAGACUUUCCCUCACGUAAAUAUGCGGGACGAAUCGCCAGAGAAAUGUCGCAGCAAAAAAAAUUGGGAAGGUUGUGGGAUCUGUUGGAGGCGGAGAAAAUGGAGCCCCCCCCCAAAUGUUUUUCCAGUGAGUUUUGGUGUCGUUUUUAUAGUUGCUCUAACUAUUUAACAUCCCUAACCACUCCUUUUCUCUCUCACAUGCACCCCUCCUCACACACACAUCUAAGGCUAUUCCUAGUCAUGAUUUUAUUUGAAUUUUGUUUUUAUCAAAUGACCUGUCAUUCGACAAGUACAAUGAUAUGACAAGGAUUUAAUAAAGAGAGAUAGGGAGGGUUUUAUGUGAGGCGAGAGCAAGUAACGAAACUCUAUACUAGGAAUAGCCUAACCCACUUAGAGCAAGUAUAAUAAGAGGUUGUAAGCAGGCUAAAUGUUGAGGUGUGAGGUGGAGGACAGAAGAGGAGAAACAAGUUGUAAAAACUUUGUGAGAGAGAUAAGUAAGGUCCUACAUUAAUAAUGAAAUGCUAACUAGUAUAUAAAUGAGCUAAUAGCAUCUUUAAGAGACUAGUGAAAUUAUUCAUCAUGCCUAAUUUUAGCUACUUAACAGAAAAAACUCCUCACUAGACUAAACAUCUAACUCGUCAAAACAUCCAGCUCUACAAAUUGGUCCCCUCUCUAUCCAAAUUUAGCUAGCCAUUCUAGCUAGUCAAGCUAAUUUACUGUUGAAGUGAGAUGUUAUUUAUAAAAUUUAAUUUUUAUAGAAAGAUAAAUAGAGAGUGAGUAAAAAAUGGAGAGUCCUGUUGAGAUGCUUACUGUUU